rnacentral:rRNA from 1 species
CGCACGGUAAACGAUGGAUGCCCGCUGUUGGUCUGAAUAGGUCAGCGGCCAAGCGAAAGCAUUAAGCAUCCCACCUGGGGAGUACGCCGGCAACGGUGAAACUCAAAGGAAUUGACGGGGGCCCGCACAAGCGGAGGAACAUGUGGUUUAAUUCGAUGAUACGCGAGGAACCUUACCCGGGCUUGAAUUGCAGACGAAUUGCUUGGAAACAGGCAAGCCGCAAGGCGUCUGUGAAGGUGCUGCAUGGUUGUCGUCAGCUCGUGCCGUGAGGUGUCGGCUUAAGUGCCAUAACGAGCGCAACCCCUCUCCUUAGUUGCCAUCAGGUGAAGCUGGGCACUCUGGGGACACUGCCACCGUAAGGUGUGAGGAAGGUGGGGAUGACGUCAAAUCAGCACGGCCCUUACGUCCGGGGCUACACACGUGUUACAAUGGCAGGUACAGAGAGACGGUCCCUUGCAAAACGGAUCAAAUCCUUAAAGCCUGUCUCAGUUCGGACUGGGGUCUGCAACCCGACCCCACGAAGCUGGAUUCGCUAGUAAUCGCGCAUCAGCCAUGGCGCGGUGAAUACGUUCCCGGGCCUUGUACACACCGCCCGUCAAGCCAUGAAAGCCGGGGGCGCCUAAAGUCCGUGACCGUAAGGAUCGGCCUAGGGCGAAACUGGUGAUUGGGGCUAAGUCGUAACAAGGUAGCCGUACCGGAAGGUGCGGCUG